GACUACUGGGGUAUCUAAUCCUGUUUGCUCCCCACGCUUUCGUGCAUGAGCGUCAGUACAGGCCCAGGGGAUUGCCUUCGCCAUCGGUGUUCCUCCGCAUAUCUACGCAUUUCACUGCUACACGCGGAAUUCCAUCCCCCUCUGCCGUACUCUAGCUGUGCAGUCACAAGUGCAAUUCCCAAGUUGAGCUCGGGGAUUUCACACCUGUCUUACACAACCGCCUGCGCACGCUUUACGCCCAGUAAUUCCGAUUAACGCUUGCACCCUACGUAUUACCGCGGCUGCUGGCACGUAGUUAGCCGGUGCUUAUUCUUACGGUACCGUCAUGACCUCCCUGUAUUAGAAGAAGGCUUUUCGUUCCGUACAAAAGCAGUUUACAACCCGAAGGCCUUCGUCCUGCACGCGGUAUUGCUGGAUCAGACUUGCGCCCAUUGUCCAAAAUUCCCCACUGCAGCCACCCGUAGG
rnacentral:rRNA from 1 species